rnacentral:rRNA from 1 species
UACGAGUGCCCCAAGCGUUAUCCGGAAUUAUUGGGCGUAAAGGGCUCGUAGGCGGUUUGUCGCGUCGGGAGUGAAAUCCACUGGCUUAACUGGUGGCUUGCUUUCGAUACGGGCAGACUGGAGGUAUGCAGGGGAGAACGGAAUUCCUGGUGUAGCGGUGAAAUGCGCAGAUAUCAGGAGGAACACCGGUGGCGAAGGCGGUUCUCUGGGCAUGUCCUGACGCUGAGGAGCGAAAGUGUGGGGAGCGAACAGG